AAUUAAGAAGUUGAUGAUUUUAGCUUUAUAAACAGAGUAAUUCAUAAUCCCACUGAAUUAAUGCAUCAAAUAAAAAAUCAUGGCUAGAGGGUAUGAUUCAAAUGGAUUUGGCCAAGAGCACUAAAAUAUAGUAAUAAGAGAUUGGUCCUCAAAGAGUCCAAUAAAAAUCAAAUGGAAGUAAAAAGAAAAUGCAAUAUGAAUUUUUUUUUUCUUUCUUUUUUUGUGGAUCCUUACCCUAAAUAAAGCAAAGAUCUUAAAAGAAGGCACACACUCCCUUCAAAGUUGGUUUUGAUGAAAGAAAGAGCUACAUAAAAUCAUUUAACGGCUGCCUAAAGGAAGGUUUAUAAUUUAAUAGCUAGCAAAAGGAUUGGAAUCUUCAUCAAAGAAAAAAAAAAUCAUCAAAUACAAAACCAAGAUUUUUUACUUGUUUUUUCUUUAACUAGCGUACAAAGCAAAGGACUAGAUUUUUGUUUCUAAAGUGACACAAACCCAGGAGCUGUUUCUACUUUGCAAUUCAUUCUUUCCCCACUUACCAACUUAAUCUCAGAAAGAGUGCUAGAAAAUUUUCAUGGUCCUACGAACUUAACUAGCAUAGCCACCAAGAGGAAAAUCACGAAGCACUAUGUUGAAACUUACUAGAGGAGGUAACAACCUAAACAAGUGUCAAAAUGGGUUUGUGAGUUUAUUUUUCCUCUUCAUUUUCAGCCACCAAAAAUUUUCCACAGAAGAGGGUGAAGCAUAAUAAACAUACAUUAAACAUUCUCUAAUGGUAAGAAGAGAUCUACAUGAUAAACAAUAACAUGGACAAACAUAGAAAGAAACAUCACAGCACAGGCACGUACACAAAUUUAAAUACUAUAUACGCAUAGGAAGAGCAAGGAAGAACAGAGUCAAGGAAUCAACUCUACGUAUAAAACUCCUUUCUUCCAAAUGCGUAAUAUUAUGACUAUGGACAGUUGGACAAUAAUUGAGGUGUUAUUGGUGCCAGCUACAAAUUUUAAAAAAUUUAUAAUUGUAGACAAAUUGCCUGGAAAGAGAUCAUGUAAUUUUCUCUCAAAGAGGUGAAGGAACAAAAAGAAAAAAGGUCAAAGAAAAAGUAGAGGGUGAACCAAAAGAAGAAAGUAACGUUGACAUAUGGGUUCAAUCAUAUACAACAUAGCAAAUGUUCAGCAUAACAUAUUAUGCAGAUUUUAAAUAAUAGAAGCAAGAUUCAAAUGCCUAAGUUUCUGCAACUAGCGAUUCAAACUUCUUUUGAGAAGCAAAUUUUACAAAUAAGGAAUAGAUUGUGCAGCAUUAGAUCAUAAAAGCAACUCACCUGAAAUGGAAGACUUAUAGUCGCUAAUUAAGUUUGUGCAAGAGAGGGAGAAAUUGGAGGCUACUAAAACCAUAGGGCUUCUGAAUCGUUGAGUGAAGAAGAGAAAUGGAAGAGGCGAGAUGGAGAAGGCCGGGGUUGGCGUAGAGUUAGUCUGGAAGACGCCACUGAAGUCGCGAGAGAUGGGCUCGUAAGACUCGCCAGAUGAUGAUGAUAGGGGCAAAAUAAAUUACCAAUGUCAACGCAGCUUGAGGGAAAGAGAGCCGCAAGCCUCAGUUCUCCACAAUUAGUAGGGACGGAUUUCAAAGAAAUUUGUAGAAUUUGGGAGCAAAUUCACAUGAAGAACUUGAAGGAACCAUAGUAGCGUCGUAGUUAAUCCCAUCCUGAGCAUUUGAAAACUUCCAUAAAGAAGUUUGGCCUCAAUCUUUUAGGGUGUGUUUCCACCUCCUGGUUGCCAUUGAUAUUACUGGAGUAGAAGUCUUCCCUGCUUCUCUUAUUGUUGGCAUUUGUUGUUUCUUUGAAUUGCUCCAGAAAAUUGGCUUCUCUGCAUUUGUUUAGCUCAACUUUGUCAUAUAACAAGUGGAACCCAAACCUUUUCACUUCCAACUUUCCCUCAUCGUCGGGCCACAUAAUCUCAGGGUAGAGGUGGAAUGUUGCCUUGUUCUCCAUGUCACAAUUUUGUUUGAGCCAAUCUAAAAAGAAAAUGUCAUCGCCAUCGGACCAAAAUAACACAUGAUCUGAUUCUAUGGUAUUUUCCAAACAGAAAUAUUCACUUGUAAAUUUGGCCUCUGUGUAGCCAUUAUUGUUCUUGAAACUGCUUAGACAAGAUAAGGGUCCAUAGCAAAAAUAAACAGGAUCCUUGAAUUCUAGAAUAGCACAAAAAACAAAACCCAGGAACAUAUUAUUGAAGCAACCAGGAGGGAACGAAGUUUCUAUUAAAUGUCCUGGGCCUUCACAUCUCAAACACUCAGGAAUUUUGCUUCUGGGUAAAACAACCAAAAGACGACGAUAAAAUGCUCCAUAACUUCUAGCAAUGGCUAAUUCUUUAAUUCUCCGGAUAGCAUCUGCCAUAAUUGUGCCACGUGCAUUUUGGUCCAAAUUUACGCAAUUACAAAAAUUCAAUUCAUAACCAAUUGAUGACGGCAAUUCUU
rnacentral:misc_RNA from 1 species